rnacentral:rRNA from 1 species
CAGUAGCCACGGGAACACGGAGGGUGCAAGCGUUAAUCGGAAUUACUGGGCGUAAAGCGCACGCAGGCGGUCUGACAAGUCAGAUGUGAAAUCCCCGGGCUUAACCUGGGAAUGGCAGUGGAUACUGGCAAGCUAGAGUGUGUCAGAGGAUGGUGGAAUUCCCGGUGUAGCGGUGAAAUGCGUAGAGAUCGGGAGGAACAUCAGUGGCGAAGGCGGCCAUCUGGGACAACACUGACGCUGAGGCACGAAAGCGUGGGGAGCAAACAGGAUUAGAUACCCCAGUAGUCCCUGUCUCUUAUAC